AGCAAUCUAUGCAUCAUCCGCCUGUCCUCCACGUGGGGCACAGGGAGCCCAGACUGAAUCAGGGACAUCUGGACCGCCAUGGGAGAGAGAGGUCAACACGGAAUCUCAGAAUGGAAAGCAUAACUGCUGCGAUUUUAGUGCACCCCGUAAAACAUAAAGCAGGUGGAAACUGGAGUGGUGGAAAGGACCUCUGACCUUGGCUUAGCCCAGAUUUCUUCAAACGAGUCUGACCUUGGCCCUGAACGAGCUGCUCCUUUCUGCAGCUACAGAUCCCCAGGAUGGGCAGAGAAAGAUGUUCUGUUGGUGGGUGCACCAGCCCCGGGGGGAAGAGAGGCAGGGUCUCAGGUUGGAGGCUGUGAGCCUGGAACAGAGGCUGAGUUAAAGCAGCGUCGGCAGGAAGGGAGAAGGCGAGGGAGCAGAGGGGGGUCACAGCGAACACAGAGCACCUGGAACAAAGCCCCGGAGCCUAGAGAAAAUUGGGGGUGUCUGGGACGGGACAGGGGCUGGGUCUCCCCUUCUUCAAGAUGAAGGUCAGGGUUCUAGCUCCUGGACCACCAUGAAUAUGUUGCAGGGGACGAGGCAGGGGAAUCAAAGAAGGUGGAUUUGCAGCCACUUUGUACCACUCGGUACGGGUCCUGUGCCAGACCACUUCUCCCCCUGGGUCUUAAUUUCCCGAUGACUUGACCAUCCCUGGCCUCCAUUUUAUUGUUUGUAUUAAGAAUAGAGUAACCUCCCCACCCCGAGCACAAAGGGGUACAAGCACCAGCCGUUCUUCCCGCUUCUGAGGUUUCCCAACCCCCAGUUCAGGGGUUCUGCAGAUCUGUGGUUGAGCCGGGUGGGGACCCAGAGCCCGACACUGAACGAGUCGGCCUCCCCCGUCCCACGUCCAGCCCCCAGUCUUGCCCUGCCAGCAGCAGCAGCUGGGCUCAGAGGUAAAGCUCAGGACACGAGCUGUGAGCCCUGCUUCCCUCUGCCCCCCGUGCCCCCCGCUGCACAGCCCCACGGAGAAGCCACCUUCUCAGAUCCAGAGCCUUCUGAAGGGGCUGCAUCCUCCUCCAGAGCCAGAUCUCCCCAGAGGGCCCUGGGCUGGGCAGCAGGGGGUGGAAGACAGCAAGGACACAGACGCCAAGAGACACAGCAUUUCCAGAUGGUCAGAGAGGAGAAGAUAAUGAGGAUGCCUGUCUCAGAAAAAUCCGUGCAAACAGCUGUCAGGGUGACUUCUUUCCAUCAAAGUCACAGGAAGAAAAUGAGGGGUCAAACAGGCCACUAGCCCCAGGCAGCCAGGGAAAGCUCAGCAAAGACAGCGGCGGAUGCGUUAGGAUAAUUUGCCUCUGUUAUAAACAGCCGCCAAGGGACGGUGUGUGCGGAGCCUAGUCUGUGGGACCCUGCAGUGCGGGCAGGGAAGCCCGCGCACGAGCCCCAGGGUCUAGAAAGGUGCAUGUGCCGCCGGAGGAUAAGCCACGCGCUUGGCGGAUUCAGAGGAGGUGGGAAUAAACUCCAGCUUUGGCUUUAGAUAAUCUACACUGUGUUCAGGGACAGGCAGAGAUGAAUUAUUUACACUCUGCCAUAUUAAGGAAAUUAGGAUAGAUUAGAACAGACAAAAUCUCCCAAUUUCAGUGACUUAACUAUAGCACUGCUCUGUCUUGCUCCCUGAACGUUUCCAUGGGAGCCCUCCUGGUCAGUGGGCAACCUUCCUCUGUAGGGGACUCAGGGACCCAGGCCCCUUCUGUCUUGUGGCUCUGCCAUCCCCUGGGGCAUCUGAGUCUUCUGGGUGCAGCUGACAGGUGGAGAGAGUGACAGUGUGGAGGCUGUCACCCUGUCUCAGAAACCCCAGCCUGGAAGUCACCCACGUCCCUCCCACUGUUUUGUCCUUCAGAGAACACGUGUGUCCAUGUGUGGACACAAGGAGGGCUGGAACUGGGGACAGAUUAGAAGUGAAGACAGAGUGGAAGUUUCUACCAGGGGACAGGGUGUGGAGCAGUGCCUGGGGGAGGUGGGGGUCCCAGGAGAGAGACCCCAGGAGCCCAAGACUGCUCACUGUUUCUGCUUCCCCAUCAGUCUCCGCUGUUAGACAAGCUGGGGGAAGACUCCAGGCUGUGUCAGCCAGGCUGGCGGAGCCACGUAAGCAGCUGGGCCCCAGAGGGCAGUGAAUCUGAGAGCCCUGUGUGCGGUGGGGUGGCAGGACCAGAGGGAGGGACCGCCUUCUGCCACUGACAAGGACCCCUCCUUGACCACACUGUAGUCCCGCCCCUCUGAGCACCCCUGUCUUCCCAUCUGCCCUGGGCCCGCAGCCUGCCCCGGGCCUCCAGAAGCUGCUGUUAGCCGAGACUCUGUUACACCCUUUUGGUGAGACUCCCCACGCCCUCGGUAUCCGACCAGCUUCGUCCUAGUGACUUUCCAGCCACUGACCUCUCCCUCUGCCCACUGGCUGUGAAUCCUCAGCUGUCUUUGAUGCCUUUGGAGUUGACUCUCUUGCUCCUACUACAACAGUCUUGAAUAAAGAUUUUCUUGCAGUUGUUAACU